rnacentral:misc_RNA from 1 species
GAACCUGGAAAGGUCAGAAGGAAGUCCAAGAGUCGUCACGCAAAUCACCAAGACACUGAAGAGGAUAAAUCUCCACAGCAUGGUAGCAAAGACAGGCCUGAUGAAACCUCAGAGAUGUUUCCACCACCCCGAUCAAUUUCCCUCCCUCAUGAACAAAUAACUCCUUCAGAAGCAACAAAAGUGUUUAAUCGCGCUGCUUCCUUCCAGCCAGACAGGUCAAGCCCAGCUAAGCAUGUGCAUCCCAGAUUACCUGAUUACGAUGACUUGGCUGCUCAGUUUGCAGCUUUGAAGGGAAGGUAACCAUUUAGCAGUCAGAAUCAGCACCUUAAACAUGGGCAUGAGCGCAUUCAUAAUAUCUUUUUACAUUAUCCCUAAUGGAGUCCGGUACGGUUUUUGUCGGAUGAAAGACAGUUUAUGCUCUGGCCGUCAAUGGAAAGUAGUUGCAGCAUAAAGGCUUGCACCAUUGCAAUUCCACAAUGAUCAAAGCAUAGUAGAAGUGUAGGCUUGUUGUUGGCGUACACCCGUAAGCAAUCAAUGGAGCAUAGCACUUAUAGUUUGUACUUUUAAUAUCAAUUCAAGUUCCAAACCUCAGGCUGUAAAAUUUGUAAUGUGCACGUUACUUGAAAUAACAAAGUUCCUAUGUGUAGAUUGAUUAUUAUGAUAGACGUUGAGACAAGUUUGCU